CUGUUCGGCAGAGCUCAGGAGCCGCUGACCGUCUUCACUAAUCCAGGUUUUGAGCCAGCCAAGGGCACAGUCGCAACGCCAGGGGUUCUCUGUCGGAAAAACCAGUCAGGGAAUCAGACAACAUCUAAGUCCUCAGCAGCAAAUUCCGGCAUGCUACUCCAGUGUCUCCCCUUUGGAACCCUUUGAAAAGUGACUACAUGAUGAUGUCAUAAUGGCCGGAGACAUGGCGUUUUAAGGAUUCCUCUCCUGUCUCUGCCUACCUGUGACACGAAGCACCUGCAGGCUGACAAGCGGUUUGAGGGAUGAUGCUCCCAGGGUGCGGAGGUGAUUUCUGCUGAGGUCCAGCAGAGCCAGAGAUGACAGGCCUGACAGGGCUUGCUCAGCCAACAGCUCUAUGCUGUUCUCCUGCAGGUGGAGUUCCUGCAGACGCUGCAGACAUCAAAAAGACGUACAGCACGGGGGAGAGAAAAGGUGAAAGAUGGGUUUUUUACUGGAUACUCUUGGUGUAACGGAAGCAGAAACCAGGGACCAGGGACUCGAUGGAAUUGAACCAACUCAAACAGUGGAUCCAGGCCUAUGGAAGUCCUGAGUAACGGUCGACCGACGCACCCGCAGGAAGAAAAUGUCCUGAGGAAAACCUGAUUCCAGACCAGACUCAUCCCUGGGAUCACGGCUCUAAAUGUCAUUGCGCCCCCUGAAGGUGUGGUCCUGCACUCUGGUGAUCUGGUUUCCGGCCAGGUAGAGGAUUCGGAGGUGCUCCAGACCCCGGAACAUGUCUGCGGUGACGAGGUGGAUGAGAUUUCCAUUGAGAGCGAGCUCA